rnacentral:piRNA from 1 species
UGGAAUUCUUUCUCUGGUAUGUAACCAAAC